AGCAGGAUAGAGAAGUGGCAAUCUUGCAAGGUUCAUACCCUUGAGACCGGUGGUUCGAAUCCACCUCCUGCAA
rnacentral:tRNA from 2 species